rnacentral:rRNA from 1 species
GACGAACGCUGGCGGCGUGCCUAAUACAUGCAAGUUGAGCGCUGAAGGUUGGUACUUGUACCAACUGGAUGAGCAGCGAACGGGUGAGUAACGCGUGGGGAAUCUGCCUUUGAGCGGGGGACAACAUUUGGAAACGAAUGCUAAUACCGCAUAAAAACUUUAAACACAAGUUUUAAGUUUGAAAGAUGCAAUUGCAUCACUCAAAGAUGAUCCCGCGUUGUAUUAGCUAGUUGGUGAGGUAAAGGCUCACCAAGGCGAUGAUACAUAGCCGACCUGAGAGGGUGCUCGGCCACGUUGGGACUGAGACACGGCCCAAACUCCUACGGGAGGCAGCAGUAGGGAAUCUUCGGCAAUGGACGAAAGUCUGACCGAGCAACGCCGCGUGAGUGAAGAAGGUUUUCGGAUCGUAAAACUCUGUUGGUAGAGAAGAACGUUGGUGAGAGUGGAAAGCUCAUCAAGUGACGGUAACUACCCAGAAAGGGACGGCUAACUACGUG